UUGGGCAGAUCGUGUGGCAGGUCUUGAGAACCAAGUGCUGGACGCACUGGGAGAGUGCGUGAGAGACCCCUCACUGAGGCCCCUGUGUGCCCAGUAUGGGGCUGUGUCGGGACUCACUGCUCUGGGUGUGGAGGCACUGCAGCAGGUUUUGGGGCCGCAUCUGGGUUCCUACUGGCGCCACCUGGAGCUCAUUCUCGCCGACUGCAGGCCGGCCAACGCACAGGCCCAAGCAGACGCCACUAGAGUGCACGGGGCGCUGCUGUUGGCAGCUGAGAAGCUGGUAAAGGAGCAGCGUCGCAUGAUGACGAAAACAGAGUUGCCCGGUGCCUCUUACGGUCUCCUGUACGACUGUUUUGGGGAUGCCCUGGCUUUGAGGCUGCCUCUUGCUGUACGGAGUGGCCCAGCUCCUCUACACACCACGGCAGGCCCCUCUGAAAGCAUCGGGCGGACAAGGCAGCCCCACGGGUGAGCAGAUGCUUGAGGCUUUCUACGAGGAAGAGCGCAGUCCCUCCGCAGCAGAAGAGGACAACAACUCGGAAGAGAGCAACCUCAGUGGGCCACCACCGAACAUCCACCCCCAGGUCAAGAGCACCAUAUCGGAUCCUGCAAGAGGAAUCCGCCUGACCAUCGCUCUGCGAAGGCCCCCCACCAUUGAAUCCAAGCAGCCACGCAAAAAGCGCCCUCCAGGGGCCAGUCCACACCGCUGAGCCUCCCUUUGAGGGGGUUCCCUGGACGCCCCCACCGCGUCGAGCAACCAUCAACAUCUGUUUUGAAGGUGCAAUGCCGGUGCUCCGCCCGCCACCGGAUCCACCUGCACCGGCCGAAGGGGAGUGGCGCACAGUCGAGUUGAGCAGGCGAAUGGGACGAGUGGGCCGGGGAGCACGAAGACGCAGAGCAUACCGGGACAGACACACCGGUGCUGGCAUAGACGCAAUCCUUUGAGAGAAGCAUGCCUCGUCUAUAAGCAGCUGCUGCCAAAGUCUGGCACUGUGGAGGGUUCAAGACGGAAAGGCAACGCUUGGAGAUGGCGCCAUGGCAGCUGCGGAUCCUGUGAGUGGGGCCGGCAGGCUGGCCUUGCACGUCCACUGCUCGUUUUCCAGGCAAAGGAUGCGGCUUCCGGAAACCACCAACAAUUGCCCACCUGUGAUUGAGACGGCAGACUUCAUCAACAGGCAGAAAGAAAAACUGUUCCACACUCACCAUCAUGGCUACUGGCAGCAGUGCCCAACUUUCCCACAUUAAAGUGCGCAUAUAUGCCCCAUAAAGUGGGCGAGGGGAUAGCUGCCGCGGUAACCCGGUUGGUAGAGCAUUAGACGCAUUAUUCUAAGGUCGCAGGUUCAUCCCCUGCCUGUAGCCAGUUACCUUUUCAUCCACUUUUCUUUCUUUACUAGUAACAUUUCCUAUACUUCCCUUGGCAUUAUUAUCUGUUAGUUCAGGCCAGGAGUUCAAAGUUGUCCACGCAAUAAAUGUGACAUCAGAGAUCCUACAGUGCCGCAUUGUAAAAUUUUGGAGCCAAUAAUUUAGUGCAUUAGUUUUGGGUGAAUCAGUAACAUAGUGAAACUUGUGUGAAAAAAAAAGAAAGGAAAUUGUUUUCCACUUGAAUGCCUCUAAGCAACAUUUUGUGUGGGGUUGUGGUCCCAGUCAAGCCCUCAAAGAGGUUUUUUGAACCUGUCCCUUAGCACCCUAAAUGAUUUGAUGUUGAAAUUAACAAAGUUUAAAAGUAAUGCAGCAUUGUCAUUGCCUAAUUGCCAAGCCCUUCAGGCUACAGGCAGGCUAGUUUGGGUUCGUGCCACUUAGACUUUGAAAGUUACUAGUUCACAAGCAACAAUAACCUACCUCGAUUGCCGCCAACAGUCUCUUUUCGCAUCUUACGAGUUAUCUAAAGCAUUGUAGCACAGAUUUGCCAUUGCUUAGUUGUCAAGCCCAAAGAUAGUUGUCAAGCCCAAAGUAAGGCUAGUUCCGAUCCGUGCCACCUACACUUUAAAUGUUACUUGUCCGCGAACAACAAUCGCCUGUCUCGAAUGGUGCCAACAGUGUCUUCGCAUCUUUUUAUGAGGAAUCUAAAGCAUUAACAGGUUCUCAUCUCCUCAAACUGCUAUAGGGGUACUGAUAAACAUUCGUCUGUUUUCCAUGCCACACACACAACUUGGCUUACUUGCUAUUGUUAAUUAAGGUUCAGAAGUGCAGGUGUCUGCUCUUCAUGUUGAUUAAAAUACCUGAAUUUCGUUUUACACCCAUGCAUUGCUCCUUGCGGUGCUGCGCUGUGCUCGCUUAUGUGCAGCAGGAAAUUGUGCCACCUUUCUUUUAUUGAAACAAUGAGUUGAUUUAGAUUGGUAAAAUGCACUCUGAGAACACUAAUGCCAUAAGUUUCUCUGUCAUAAGUUUAUUAUUAGCGGAGAAAAUCAAGAUUUAAGGUUCAUUUUUAAAUUUCACGCCGUAAUACCCGCGUGUGACGUACGAAAUUUCACAAUGUAUAUUUUGUUUUCGUGACAUUAGCUCGAUAAAAUUCUCUGAAACUUCAUAUGCUGUCUAUGGCAGCCACAGAUUAAAAUGUUCUUCAGUUUUAUUGAUUAGCUAUGUAGGCCCCAGUAGACUUAUUCGAAAAUUGAUGACGUAACAGUGUUUGGUGCGGGACUCUCAAGGUAGCGUCUCCACCUGCAGGUUCUUUUCACGCGUUUUCUCGCUUACCAGGUGCCAUGUCAGAGUGGUGUUUUCGGUAUUGUGAAAUUGUACUUUACAAAUGCGUGAAAAAUCGUUUUGCUCUUUGGUGUCCAUUAUUGAACUGUUUGCAAAGCACACCAACUGCACACUCACUCCCUUAAUUUUUGAAAAAUUUCUCACCAGAAUGGCAAGCCUUUGGUAAUUUUAAUUAUUUUUUCAUCUUUCACAAACUUCUCGCUCUUUGAUGAAGUCAAUAUUUUGACAAUUUCUGACUGAUAUGGCUAGCCUGUAGCGGUCGGAAACACUGCAUUUGUCUUUCAAAGUUUAAUGAUGUCUUGAUAAAAUUAAUUUAUUGAUGAAAUGACAGGCCUAUAGUCUUGGGAAACAUAAUUUUUUAAAACUUUUUUCGUAUUUCAGUGAAAUAUUAUUGCGUGUCAACAAAUAAAGAAAAAUAAAACAGCA
rnacentral:lncRNA from 1 species